UCCUGGCUCAGGAUGAACGCUGGCGGCGUGCCUAACACAUGCAAGUCGAGCGAUUACUUCGGUAAAGAGCGGCGGACGGGUGAGUAACGCGUGGGUAACCUGCCUCAUACACAUGGAUAACAUACCGAAAGGUAUGCUAAUACAGGAUAAUAUAAGAGAUUCACAUGGAUUUCUCAUCAAAGCUCCGGCGGUAUGAGAUGGACCCGCGUCUGAUUAGCUAGUUGGUAAGGUAAUGGCUUACCAAGGCGACGAUCAGUAGCCGACCUGAGAGGGUGAUCGGCCACAUUGGAACUGAGACACGGUCCAAACUCCUACGGGAGGCAGCAGUGGGGAAUAUUGCACAAUGGGCGAAAGCCUGAUGCCAGCAACGCCGCGUGAGUGAUGAAGGCCUUCGGGUCGUAAAACUCUGUCCUCAAGGAAGAUAAUGACGGUACUUGAGGAGGAAGCCCCGGCUAACUACGUGCCAGCAGCGGC
rnacentral:rRNA from 1 species